CAUGCCAAUUGCCCAAGAAGCUAUGAAGAGUGUGAGAAAAGAUGCAUGAAUAGUGUGUACUAGGGAAUUAGAGUGUAGAUGUAGCUCAUGUAAAUCUAUUGUCAUAAGAUAGCAAACAUUAUCAAACACGAUAAACUUAUAUAAUAAAUUUAUCACUCUUCUUUUAAGAUAAUGGAUAGAUUUAUCACUAAAUUAUUGCAACGUGUAUGCAUAGUGCACUAUCUUGACAGUGUAUUAUACGGCCCUCCUAGUGUUUCCCUUCACAAAAGAAAAUAGUGGAAAUGUUGCAUUCAAAUCCACAAAUAUAAUGUACUCCUAGGUACAUGGCACGUACGCGAGCCACCAUCUUAGAAUUAGCUCCAUCCCUCUCCGAAUCCCUCUUAGAAUACGAAAAUUUUUACCUCUCUAACAAAAAUUCUUUAAAAUCCUGAGAUCGAACUCCUGUAUUUAGAAUAUGAAACUAUUCCAUUUCAUAUCAAAAAUCCUAAAAUUAUUAUUCCCACCUUAGAACUGAUGAUGCUGCUACUACUACAUACUCCCUCCGUCCAAAAAAAAACUUAACAUAUGAGAUGUGACCCUUUCUGGUACAACCUUAGAACUGAUGAUGCUGCUACUACUACAUACUCCCUCCGUCCAAAAAAAACUUAACAUAGUAUGAGAUGUGACCCUUUCUGAUACAACGAAUUUGGACAACCCUCAGUCUAGAUGUGAUUCUUUUUGGUACAAUGAAUUUGGACAACCCUCUAUUCAAAUUCGUUGUAUUAGGAGAAAAAGUUAUAUUUUCUUUUAAGUUAUUUUUUGUUUUGGGACCGAGGGAGUAGAGCUAGAGCUACGAAGGGCAGCAAGGUGAACGAGCGCGCGCCCUGCAACCUCCACGUUCUCCCAUAAUUUAAACAGGAGGCAUCAAUCCCACAGCUCCAUUCUUUUUAACCUUUUAUGGCAGACACAUCACCCCACACUUCAACCGUUUUUAUACGGAUCCCCAGCCACAGCCAAGCCAGCCUGACCCCAAAACUAAUUUUGUAUGCUUGCCAAAGGAUCAGCCAUACUCACUAUAGCUAGGCAACCCCCCCCCCCCCCCUGCUGGCUCUAACUCCGAGGCAUCCAAGCCUAAAACUACAGUGGUAGGGUAUCUCACGUACUAGGAGCACAAUUUUAAUUACAGGACUAGUGCUACUGGGAGUAGUAUACAGUAGCAUAGUGUGUAUAAAAGUGUGGUUUAAGUAGCAAGAAUUUGUGCAAGUGAUAAUUAAUCAAGUGUCACUUUGUAGCACAUGCUCUCUUAGCUAGCACUCGAAGUUGUCAUGAUAGGGCGAUCUACACAAGAUCCUUCUACUAGUUGAUUUUGUGCUGGCAAUUUAAGUUGAUCAAGAUCAUACCGAAUUUUAUCUUUUGAUCUACCUAAAUUUUUGCAGGCAUUUUUUUUAUUUACAUGCAUGCAUGCAUAUGACAACAUACCGUGACAUCUAGCUUGGAUGCUACCUAGUUAUUUUAAUGAGUUUACCUCGGUUAUAAUUUGAUAAUUACUUGCUUUAAAUUUUAUACCCUAUAUAUCAAGCCUUCCUUGUGCUAUACUAAUCUUUGGCAUGUGAGGGCUAUCUCCCCAUGCUUAUACUAAUCGUGGCAUAGCAAUUUAUAUUAAUAUUUGAAAGAUCGAGAUCGAUCCUUAUGGGAUCUAAAACUAAAAAGUUUACAAUAAAUUAAGC
rnacentral:sRNA from 1 species